rnacentral:lncRNA from 1 species
UUUUUUUUUUUUCUUACCCUGGGAGCAGAGCUUUUUCCACAAGGCGAUGUCUUUUACCAAGGACAGAAAAAUCAUAAUCAAUGCGCAAUCAACAUUGUGUUGCUUUUUGCUGCACCUACCAUUCACUUCUACUAUGAAUUAAUUCUUCCUCCUCCUCUCCCGCCCCUGGCAAUUAGUGCAGCAGAAACACAGAAAGGAGAGUACUAUGCUUAGGUGGACCAGUUUGAUUCAGCAUUGAGUACCAGGUAUGCAUAUAAUUUUAAAGUCUCUUUAUAACAAAGGUAUUUCAAAUUAACUUAUGAAGGAAACCACAAAAUUACAUAUGUACCAUAUGAAUAUUUCUAAAAAUAUUGCCUGUAAAAUUUAACAACUUUCAGUUUUAAAUAAAGGCAUUAGGGAAAUUUGUAACAUUAAAAACUGCCUUCGGUACUUCUUAGAAAGUUUGUGAGUCGAAAAGUUUUCCGAGUUAUUUUUGCUAUUAAAUAACAUCAUAAUACAGCAUUACACUUCGUUCUACUGAAAUCACUUGCUAGAAAUCCUGUAAUAGCUAGUUGUUAUCAAGAAAUAAAGACCUUUUAUCUCAAACAAGCAAACAAAAAAAAAAAUACUGGAAAAACCCUGAACUGUCAUAUAGGAUAUGAAAGUGUUAGACGUCACUGGUAAAGAAGAUUCUUGAUUUGGUAAUGACCAAUUUCAUUUAAACCUAUUGUCUGCUCUAAGUGCACUAGAAAAUUUAGAUCCUUUGUAUCUAGCAUUUUUUUUUUUUUAAGAAAACCGUAACCACCUACUUUGUGUAUAAACGUGCACAUCUUGCUUUUGUGAACAGGGUGCUUCACCUGCUCCUCUGAGUGGACUCUCCUCUGUGUGGAGCUACUGCACUAGGGCGUGUGUAUCUACUUUCAUGCUACAUUCUUCCUGACAUUUUCCCUAAGAAAAACAUGCUUAACUAUUAAGUACGUUAAUUUUACCAACUUCUCGACUGAAAGCUUAACUUUCAAUUGUCUUGUCAAACGACAGUAUAAAACAAUAAACGGACUAGCAUUUUAUCAUUAUAAGAUUUUGGUAGUUUCAUUUUUAAUACCAUUACAGCUUGCAUAAAAAUGGGAUUUGUACUACUCUUUUCACCUUUUUAAAAGUCUUUUACAACUUUUCCAACAUAAAAGGUGACAAUAUGACAUACUUAUACAUGAAUGAGUUGCAUAAAAAUUCAUCAAUUUAAGUGCCACGGUACCAUGAUGACUUAUAGAUUAGCAGCCUGACAGACAUCCUCAAAUUCUUACAAAAUAAUAUAUGAACUGUAUAGCAAUGAGAACAUUUGAGAUAGUAGCAUAUUAAAGCUCUACCUAACAGUAAUACACAACCCCCCCAUCCGAGAAACAACUAUAUGUUUGAUCCAAACGACUAAUCUCUAUAAUGAUUAAAUCACCCGUUAUCACUAUUUUAUGUAAUUCAUUUAUGUAGAUAUACUAUGGAAAUAUAUAAAUAUGGGAGUAUUUUGACACUCUGGUUAAUAACAUUAUCAGUAUAGUUAUGUCUUUUAUAACAUGUAACUCGUUUCAGCCCCAAGUUUUAGAACUUUAAAAUAAAUAAAAAGUGUAAUUUACAAAAAUAAGCCAUUAUUUACAAACAUAAAAAUUCAUCCUGAGAACUUAUUAACCAGGAGAACUGUUUCACAGAAAAGGAAAUUACCAAUAUCUGUGAAAUAAAAAAUGUACCUCAAGAAUUAAAUAAUUCAUAUGUGGAGGUCAAUUUACCUAAGUUGCAGCCAAGAAAAGACUAAGGUAUUUAAUAAAUCUAAAAUCGACUUGUAUGCAAGAAAUGCUAUGACUUCUCAAAUGCCAUUGUCAUUUUCCUUUAAACUUCUGUAUUAAUGGAGUAUUCUGGCUGUAUUUUGGAAGAGGGUGAGAGAGAAAGAACACCUCAAGAAAACUCAAGGAUAUGGUCUCAUCUCUCACCAGGGGUUAUGAGAGCAGAGAAGUGGGGUGCAUGGUCAUUAUAAAUGGCUUACUUUGGACUGUCAUGAGAAACAGAGCCACUCUACCUUUGGCUUUACCUGGCUGAGCUCCCCCACUCCACCCUACCCGCCCCCAACAGGAACAGUGACUAAAACAGUUCAACAUUAUAUAAAGGAAAAAUGUCCAAUUAAAACACAAAUGUGAAUAAAGGCAAACCCUCAUCAGAUUCUUUGCUUUAUAAUGUGACCAUAAAAUACUUAAUAGAAAUGAAAAGAAAUGGUUCAACAAAGAAUCAAACUGGUUUUGGGGGGUAUAUCAUCACAACAAAUCUCUUUACUCUUUAUGCUGUGAGCAGACAGUGAUUAUUUUGGAGAAGGAAAAAUAAGAAAAGUGUGAAAUUAGUAACGCAAGAGGCUGAAAGGCAAGUGGCAAGACUAGAAAAGAUUGCCUCAAACCAAUGCUACUUUGUUCCCAUCUCUACUGGCACCUACCCCGCCCCACCCAAGGUAAAAGGCCAGAAUAACCAAAGCCAUUUUAACAGUAGUGUGCGCAAUUGUCAGCUGACAAACAACAUAAAAACAAGUCACGCUAUGUUAUCUGUGGUCACGUUCUUCAGGGUUAGUCCAGUAACUCAAGACUUUACAUUCUUUUCUCUUUAUUUGUUUAUUUUAAUUAAACACGUAAAGGUUAAUAAACAGACAUAGUCCAGAGU